rnacentral:rRNA from 1 species
UACGUAGGGUGCAAGCGUUACUCGGAAUUACUGGGCGUAAAGCGUGCGUAGGUGGUUCGUUAAGUCUGUCGUGAAAGCCCCGGGCUCAACCUGGGAAUGGCGAUGGAUACUGUCGGGCUCGAGUGCGGGAGAGGCGAGUGGAAUUCCUGGUGUAGCGGUGAAAUGCGCAGAUAUCAGGAGGAACACCGAUUGCGAAGGCAGCUCGCUGGAACGUUACUGACGCUGAGACGCGAAAGCGUGGGGAGCAAACAGG